rnacentral:rRNA from 1 species
AACGAACGCUGGCGGCGUGCCUAACACAUGCAAGUCGUACGUGAAAGUCUUCGGAUGAGUAAAGUGGCGCACGGGUGAGUAACACGUAGGUGACCUGCCGUUUAGAGGGGGAUAACCAGAAGAAAUUUUGGCUAAUACCGCAUACGAAGUACAAAUCUUAGAGUAGUACUUGAAAGAAUGCCUCUGUAUAUGCAUUUACUAAACGAUGGGCCUGCGGUGCAUUAGCUAGUUGGUGGGGUAAUGGCCUACCAAGGCGACGAUGCAUAUCCGGUCUGGGAGGAGGGUCGGACACACUGGAACUGAGACACGGUCCAGACUCCUACGGGAGGCAGCAGUGGGGAAUAUUGCGCAAUGGGGGAGACCCUGACGCAGCAACGCCGCGUGAGUGAGGAAGGACUUCGGUCUGUAAAGCUCUGUUAAUGUGGAAAAAUGCUUGCUGGUCUAAUAGGCCAGUAAGUUGAUGGUACACAUAGAGGAAGCACCGGCUAACUUCGUGCCAGCAGCCGCGUAA